rnacentral:rRNA from 1 species
UCGGGAAUUUUGGGCAAUGGGCGAAAGCCUGACCCAGCAACGCCGCGUGAAGGAUGAAGUAUUUCGGUAUGUAAACUUCGAAAGAAUAGGAAGAAUAAAUGACGGUACCUGGAGAAUAAGCCCCGGCAAACUUCGUGCCAGCAGCCGCGGUAAUACGAAGGGGGCUAGCGUUGUUCGGAAUUACUGGGCGUAAAGCGCACGUAGGCGGAUCGUUAAGUCAGAGGUGAAAUCCCGGAGCUCAACUUCGGAACUGCCUUUGAUACUGGCAAUCUAGAGUCCGGAAGAGGUUAGUGGAAUUCCCAGUGUAGAGGUGAAAUUCGUAGAUAUUGGGAAGAACACCAGUGGCGAAGGCGGCUAACUGGUCCGGUACUGACGCUGAGGUGCGAAAGCGUGGGGAGCAAACAGGAUUAGAUACCCCUGUAGUCCCUGAGCGGGCUGGCAAGGCGC